GCCUUCCACUGUAGACAGCAGGUGCUCUUAGAGCUUAAUAUCCCUGCCGAGGUUGGAAAGAUAGCCUUAAGUUAUAUUGGGCCUUCUUAACCUCUGCAGUCAAAGCGGGGGUUUUUCUAUUA
rnacentral:sRNA from 1 species